UCUUAAACUUAAAGUUGCAUACCAAACCAAACCAUACGCUCACACUGUAUAUUAUGUUGUGGCAUAAACUUUAGAAGAAAUUUCUACACAUUUUGCGUUGGGUACAAUGCUUCCAAAACUUUCCCAUCUGGUCCAUAUCCAUAGCAAGAGAAUUAAACCGUUUCAGCUUUAAAUUAAUUAUAAUUAAUUCGUUUCGGAGAAUUAACUUUUUCAAGAAAGAAAUAUAAAAUGGACCCCAUCCCCACAAUUUCGAUUGUCUAUUCCGUUUUCUUCGUAUUCUUUGGGAUUUGGAGUUUUAUCGAGAUGGGAAAAGAUAAGAGAGCGGCGAGGAUACCGGAUUCAGAGAUUUCCUGGCUUCUGCAUCCAAACGGAAUAAGAACUUCGGAGUGCAAAUUGCACACUUUGGAACUUCUCGGAGGAUGGUUUGGAUCCCUCAUGGGGCAAAUUUGUUUUAACCAUAAGAUCAAGAAAUGUUCUUAUCAGGUUAAGUUCUGGAUUAUCGUGAUUGCUCAUGUGGCCGGGAUUUGGUGUGUGGUUGCGAAGAGGGAGGAAAUUCGGAAUCAUUUUAAUUAUUAAAUAUAAAAGGGUUAAAUUGUUUUUUUUUUUAAUUUUUAGUUUGAACCUAAACACUCAACUGUAAUAAAUUAUUGCGUAAUAAUUACUCAAUAAUUAUUUCGGAAGGCGUAGACCUAGUGUGUAAUUUUACACAAUUUAUGAAUUUCGGCACCUGGAUCUAAAGUGUUCUGAUAAUCAAACGCAAUUCUGAACUUUUAGUAGCAUGAAAUACGUAAUAUUAUCUUGUAUGUGCACAUAGUGUGAAAAUUCUGCUAUUAAAACAAUCUACGCGUGAUAAAAUUAAUAAAAAAUAAAAUUCGAUUUAAUAAAAAUUAUAUUAACUUGU